CCUACGGGAGGCAGCAGUGGGGAAUUUUCCGCAAUGGGCGAAAGCCUGACGGAGCAACGCCGCGUGAGGGAUGAAGGCCUCUGGGCUGUAAACCUCUUUUAUCAAGGAAGAAGAUCUGACGGUACUUGAUGAAUAAGCCACGGCUAAUUCCGUGCCAGCAGCCGCGGUAAUACGGGAGUGGCAAGCGUUAUCCGGAAUUAUUGGGCGUAAAGCGUCCGCAGGCGGUCUUGUAAGUCUGUCGUUAAAGCGUGGAGCUCAACUCCAUUUCGGCGGUGGAAACUACAAGACUAGAGUGUGGUAGGGGCAGAGGGAAUUCCCGGUGUAGCGGUGAAAUGCGUAGAUAUCGGGAAGAACACCAGUGGCGAAGGCGCUCUGCUGGGCCAUAACUGACGCUCAUGGACGAAAGCUAGGGGAGCGAAAGGGAUUAGAUACCCCUGUAGUCCUAGCCGUAAACGAUGAACACUAGGUGUCGGGGGAAUCGACCCCCUCGGUGUCGUAGCUAACGCGUUAAGUGUUCCGCCUGGGGAGUACGCACGCAAGUGUGAAACUCAAAGGAAUUGACGGCGNGAAGAGUGCGAGCGACGACGAGGAGAGG
rnacentral:rRNA from 1 species